GAUUAAGUUAUUAAGGGCGCACGGUGGAUGCCUUGGCACUAGAAGCCGAUGAAGGACGUUACUAACGACGAUAUGCUUUGGGGAGCUGUAAGUAAGCUUUGAUCCAGAGAUUUCCGAAUGGGGAAACCCAGCAUGAGUUAUGUCAUGUUAUCGAUAUGUGAAUACAUAGCAUAUCAGAAGGCACACCCGGAGAACUGAAACAUCUUAGUACCCGGAGGAAGAGAAAGAAAAUUCGAUUCCCUUAGUAGCGGCGAGCGAAACGGGAAGAGCCCAAACCAACAAGCUUGCUUGUUGGGGUUGUAGGACACUCUAUACGGAGUUACAAAGGACGACAUUAGACGAAUCAUCUGGAAAGAUGAAUCAAAGAAGGUAAUAAUCCUGUAGUCGAAAAUGUUGUCUCUCUUGAGUGGAUCCUGAGUACGACGGAGCACGUGAAAUUCCGUCGGAAUCUGGGAGGACCAUCUCCUAAGGCUAAAUACUCUCUAGUGACCGAUAGUGAACCAGUACCGUGAGGGAAAGGUGAAAAGCACCCCGGAAGGGGAGUGAAAUAGAACCUGAAACCGUGUGCUUACAAGUAGUCAGAGCCCGUUAAUGGGUGAUGGCGUGCCUUUUGUAGAAUGAACCGGCGAGUUACGAUUUGAUGCAAGGUUAAGCAGUAAAUGUGGAGCCGUAGCGAAAGCGAGUCUGAAUAGGGCGUUUAGUAUUUGGUCGUAGACCCGAAACCAGGUGAUCUACCCUUGGUCAGGUUGAAGUUCAGGUAACACUGAAUGGAGGACCGAACCGACUUACGUUGAAAAGUGAGCGGAUGAACUGAGGGUAGCGGAGAAAUUCCAAUCGAACCUGGAGAUAGCUGGUUCUCUCCGAAAUAGCUUUAGGGCUAGCCUCAAGUGAUGAUUAUUGGAGGUAGAGCACUGUUUGGACGAGGGGCCCCUCUCGGGUUACCGAAUUCAGACAAACUCCGAAUGCCAAUUAAUUUAACUUGGGAGUCAGAACAUGGGUGAUAAGGUCCGUGUUCGAAAGGGAAACAGCCCAGACCACCAGCUAAGGUCCCAAAAUAUAUGUUAAGUGGAAAAGGAUGUGGCGUUGCCCAGACAACUAGGAUGUUGGCUUAGAAGCAGCCAUCAUUUAAAGAGUGCGUAAUAGCUCACUAGUCGAGUGACACUGCGCCGAAAAUGUACCGGGGCUAAACAUAUUACCGAAGCUGUGGAUUGUCCUUUGGACAAUGGUAGGAGAGCGUUCUAAGGGCAUUGAAGCAUGAUCGUAAGGACAUGUGGAGCGCUUAGAAGUGAGAAUGCCGGUGUGAGUAGCGAAAGACGGGUGAGAAUCCCGUCCACCGAUUGACUAAGGUUUCCAGAGGAAGGCUCGUCCGCUCUGGGUUAGUCGGGUCCUAAGCUGAGGCCGACAGGCGUAGGCGAUGGAUAACAGGUUGAUAUUCCUGUACCACCUAUAAUCGUUUUAAUCGAUGGGGGGACGCAGUAGGAUAGGCGAAGCGUGCGAUUGGAUUGCACGUCUAAGCAGUAAGGCUGAGUAUUAGGCAAAUCCGGUACUCGUUAAGGCUGAGCUGUGAUGGGGAGAAGACAUUGUGUCUUCGAGUCGUUGAUUUCACACUGCCGAGAAAAGCCUCUAGAUAGAAAAUAGGUGCCCGUACCGCAAACCGACACAGGUAGUCAAGAUGAGAAUUCUAAGGUGAGCGAGCGAACUCUCGUUAAGGAACUCGGCAAAAUGACCCCGUAACUUCGGGAGAAGGGGUGCUCUUUAGGGUUAACGCCCAGAAGAGCCGCAGUGAAUAGGCCCAAGCGACUGUUUAUCAAAAACACAGGUCUCUGCUAAACCGUAAGGUGAUGUAUAGGGGCUGACGCCUGCCCGGUGCUGGAAGGUUAAGAGGAGUGGUUAGCUUCUGCGAAGCUACGAAUCGAAGCCCCAGUAAACGGCGGCCGUAACUAUAACGGUCCUAAGGUAGCGAAAUUCCUUGUCGGGUAAGUUCCGACCCGCACGAAAGGCGUAACGAUUUGGGCACUGUCUCAACGAGAGACUCGGUGAAAUCAUAGUACCUGUGAAGAUGCAGGUUACCCGCGACAGGACGGAAAGACCCCGUGGAGCUUUACUGUAGCCUGAUAUUGAAAUUCGGCACAGCUUGUACAGGAUAGGUAGGAGCCUUUGAAACGUGAGCGCUAGCUUACGUGGAGGCGCUGGUGGGAUACUACCCUAGCUGUGUUGGCUUUCUAACCCGCACCACUUAUCGUGGUGGGAGACAGUGUCAGGCGGGCAGUUUGACUGGGGCGGUCGCCUCCUAAAAGGUAACGGAGGCGCUCAAAGGUUCCCUCAGAAUGGUUGGAAAUCAUUCAUAGAGUGUAAAGGCAUAAGGGAGCUUGACUGCGAGACCUACAAGUCGAGCAGGGUCGAAAGACGGACUUAGUGAUCCGGUGGUUCCGCAUGGAAGGGCCAUCGCUCAACGGAUAAAAGCUACCCCGGGGAUAACAGGCUUAUCUCCCCCAAGAGUUCACAUCGACGGGGAGGUUUGGCACCUCAAUGUCGGCUCAUCGCAUCCUGGGGCUGUAGUCGGUCCCAAGGGUUGGGCUGUUCGCCCAUUAAAGCGGUACGCGAGCUGGGUUCAGAACGUCGUGAGACAGUUCGGUCCCUAUCCGUCGUGGGCGUAGGAAAUUUGAGAGGAGCUGUCCUUAGUACGAGAGGACCGGGAUGGACAUACCUCUGGUGUACCAGUUGUCGUGCCAACGGCAUAGCUGGGUAGCUAUGUGUGGACGGGAUAAGUGCUGAAAGCAUCUAAGCAUGAAGCCCCCCUCAAGAUGAGAUUUCCCAACUUCGGUUAUAAGAUCCCUCAAAGAUGAUGAGGUUAAUAGGUUCGAGGUGGAAGCAUGGUGACAUGUGGAGCUGACGAAUACUAAUCGAUCGAAGACUUAAUCAA
rnacentral:rRNA from 1 species